AUUGAUACCGACCUAUUUAUAUUAAAGUAACUGUUUGCGAUCGAUGUUACGCCGUCACGAAUGUGGCUUUUUAUGACACAUGUCACACGUAAUUGCUUAGGAGCGGUACAGUCCCUCGGGUUCCUUACGAUGCGGACGCUGGAUGGAUGCUGUGCGAUAUUGAUCUUUAUUGUUUAGACGAAAUUGAAAUAAUUAAAAGUUAACGGCCUUUUAGUUAUUGACUAUCAAUUUACAUUGGUCAGAAAUAAGUUGUUUUCGAUGUUUGAAUUGUAUUGUGAAAUUGUUUUCCCAAAUCUAAGAUAAAUUCGCGGCAGAUACUGUGACGAACUCUCAAAGCAAUUUGGAACGUAACAGCCUUCAACAGGGACGUAUUUUGCAUGCUGCCAUCGGCAGUUCAUUUUAAGUGGGUGCUGCUCUUACACUGUGAAAUUAAUUGGAGCAGACUCCCAUGCGGUUGAAACACGAAGUCGGAUAUUGUUCGCAAUAGCGUCAUAUUAACAAAUACAUUAUGGAUGACACACACAAGUUAAUAGCUUCAACUUGCCAAUUUUUAUCGCAAAGCAGUCAUGCGUUUCGUCUUGAUGGUUGUAUUUAUACAACUCGAAUCUCAUGUCCGAUAAUGGCAAAGGCAUUAGCCCAAACACACAGAAUAAAAUAAUGCGCAAAACACAAAA